rnacentral:misc_RNA from 1 species
CACAUCUCUUGCAUCUGCUAACUGUUUAAGGAAGGGGGAGAGAGAGAGAGCGAAGAAAAUGAAAAGUCACGUGGUUUAUAUUAACUUACAAUAGAAGCAAGUUCAUUAAUGAUCCAACUCAACUAACCCUCAAUGAACUUACAAUAGAAGUGAGUUCAUUAAGAUACAACUUGAAAAUAAUUAACUACAAUUCAAAUCACAAAGAAGGGGGAGGGGGAGAAUGGCCUUACAUCAAGGAUUACAUUUUAGAAACAAAAUUGUUCAAUUAUAUAUGAGCAGAUACUGAUUUUUCUAAAAGAUAAUGAUGCUGUUCAAACCAUCUAAUAUUUAGUAAUCACCAGCACAGCAUAGAAAAUUUUGAGAAAUAACAAACUAUGUUUGAGGAGAGAGAAAAGGCAGAGGAGAAACUGGAGGAAGACUGUAAGAGGGAGUGUAAAUUGCUUAGUCUUAUCACUCCAAGAGGGUAGUGGAUAAAAAGCCCAAGAUUUGGCUCAGAAAUACAUGGCUAAAGAGAGAUCAUAAAAAUAAAAAAAUAAAUAAAUCAAAGAGACUAAGCAUAACUAGAAACUUGCAAAAAAGCUUUUAGCCAAAUACUAAAUAUAAAAACCUUUGCUUCCAUGAUGGAACUUUUACAAUACUGCACCUAAUUACACUGCAUUUUUACAAAAUGUUUUCAUUUACAUUUGGCAUACUGUUCACUGAUGCUCACUGAUACAACUGAAAGGGGGAGGGCAUGGGGGAAGAUGUGAAAGAGCAAAUGAAAAGUAUAUAUGUUGAAAAUAACAACGAUACAAGGUACAUGAGAAGCUUCCAGAAAGAAUUACUUCAUAAGAAGAUGGCUAAUAUAAAGAUUGGGGGAGGCAAUUGGCUGUAAUUUUUAAAAAGAUAAUUUUUGCUAUAAACUUCCAACUCAAUAAUAGAAUUCGUUAUACAAAGAAUGAUCAGAAUAUUGCAAAUUUUUAAUUAAAAUUUUUGGUUUAUAUGCAUUGAUAAGUAAUAACGAAGUCAAUAAAGACAGUGCACAAGUUGAUGAAAGUAAAUACAUAAAUUUAGGCAACCAAGAAUUGUUGUAGUCUCAUGCAGAAGCGAAGGCCAAGUUUCCAUCUCCAUAACGGAGAUAUUUUCAUCUCCAUACAAGAAAACCUCAAUUUUGAAAGAAGAUGGUUGAUGCAAGCAGUUCACACAAUUACACCAAGACUAUAACUUCUAUUGGGAUUGCUUUUCCGAGUAUAUUAUUAUUCUAUGCAAAUUGUAGAGUGAUCAAUAAAAACCAUUUAGAUAUGCACAUACACACAUAUAUAUGCUUUUUAGAUUAUAAUUGACUUAUUAAUUAUUCUUAAGAACAUCACAUUUAUAAAACAAUGGUACAGUAAGGUAAAAAAUUUCAAGGUAAAUAUGAAGACUUACAGAAUUGUGAGUAAAUUACCUGAGGAACCCAUUUAGGUGAUAC